rnacentral:rRNA from 1 species
GAGUAAUGUCUGGGAAACUGCCUGAUGGAGGGGGAUAACUACUGGAAACGGUAGCUAAUACCGCAUAANGUCGCAAGACCAAAGAGGGGGACCUUCGGGCCUCUUGCCAUCGGAUGUGCCCAGAUGGGAUUAGCUAGUAGGUGGGGUAACGGCUCACCUAGGCGACGAUCCCUAGCUGGUCUGAGAGGAUGACCAGCCACACUGGAACUGAGACACGGUCCAGACUCCUACGGGAGGCAGCAGUGGGGAAUAUUGCACAAUGGGCGCAAGCCUGAUGCAGCCAUGCCGCGUGUAUGAAGAAGGCCUUCGGGUUGUAAAGUACUUUCAGCGGGGAGGAAGGCGAUAAGGUUAAUAACCUUGUCGAUUGACGUUACCCGCAGAAGAAGCACCGGCUAACUCCGUGCCAGCAGCCGCGGUAAUACGGAGGGUGCAAGCGUUAAUCGGAAUUACUGGGCGUAAAGCGCACGCAGGCGGUCUGUCAAGUCGGAUGUGAAAUCCCCGGGCUCAACCUGGGAACUGCAUUCGAAACUGGCAGGCUAGAGUCUUGUAGAGGGGGGUAGAAUUCCAGGUGUAGCGGUGAAAUGCGUAGAGAUCUGGAGGAAUACCGGUGGCGAAGGCGGCCCCCU